CUGCCAGGCUUCCCCACCACCACCAUGCUAGACUCUUACCUUCUGGAACUGUAAGCCCCAAAAAAGUCCUGCCUUCUGACUCUAUAUCUGAGGACAAUCUCCUGGAAUGAACUAUUUGGGUUUUAACCAAGUGACUGGGCAUCAGAAACAAUACAUCAUUUAAGACUUCAAGAGGACCUGGCUUGGUUCCCUGCACCCACAUGGUGGCUCACAACUGCCUGAGACUCCAGCUCUGAGAGAUGGGACUCCUUCUUCUUGGCACCUACAUGCAAGUAGGUGUGCAUACAUGCACACGGGAUAAAAAGCACUGGAGACUCCUGGACAGAAACGAGCGCAGCGUUGAACUUGUAGAACUCCUUUGAGAUCUGGAAGGGGUUGAUAGUGGAAGUCGGAGGCACAGACCUGUGCUGCCAAUUACAGCAGCCUGG